rnacentral:rRNA from 1 species
AACGAACGCUGGCGGCAGGCUUAACACAUGCAAGUCGAACGGGUGCAGCGAUGCAUCAGUGGCAGACGGGUGAGUAGCACGUGGGAACCUUCCUAGGGGUACGGAACAACUCAGGGAAACUUGAGCUAAUACCGUAUGUGUCCGAGAGGAGAAAGAUUUAUCGCCCUUAGACGGGCCCGCGUCGGAUUAGCUAGUUGGUGGGGUAACGGCCUACCAAGGCGACGAUCCGUAGCUGAUCUUAGAGGAUGAUCAGCCACACUGGGACUGAGACACGGCCCAGACUCCUACGGGAGGCAGCAGUGGGGAAUCUUGGACAAUGGGCACAAGCCUGAUCCAGCCAUGCCGCGUGAGUGAAGAAGGUCUUCGGAUUGUAAAGCUCUUUUGCCAGGGACGAUAAUGACGGUACCUGGAGAAUAAGCCCCGGCAAACCUCGUGCCAGCCGCCGCCGUAAUAC